rnacentral:misc_RNA from 1 species
UCUCCGUAGGUGAACCUGCGGAAGGAUCAUUCGUAAUAAGUGUUUUAUGGCACUUUUUUAAAUCCAUAUCCACCUUGUGUGCAAUGUCAGGGUUGAUUUUUCUCUCGAGAGGAUCAACCCCAAACAUCAACUAUAUCUCAACUCUUUGUCUGAAAAAUAUUAUGAAUAAAACAAUUCAAAAUACAACUUUCAACAACGGAUCUCUUGGCUCUC